UAAUUGUUCAGUAGGCAUUACCUUGACACAUUUCCGUAUCGUCUCUGUUAAUUCCAGGUUUCCUAUAAUUUUCGUGCAAGGAUCAACAAAACCUUUCUCUCAAAUUAAAGAAGAAUCCUUCAUCAUUCUGGGGCAGGAUGCUCAUCGUACAAGAUUCAACAAGGACUUAAAAUCAUCAUUUUAAUCAGGUUUAUCUACUACGAUUUCAACAAAUAACAAUUUAUUUCGAUGUCUACUUCGAUGUCUACUAAUUCCGACCUAUUACACGCACAAGUGUUUUGGAGCCAUCGUAGAACUUCUUAAGUAAAUAUUAAACAUUGAUAUACAUUACAAGUUGAAACUAAUCAAGUCGAGGAAGAAGAAGUAGAAGUUAAAAAACAAGAGGGAGCACUUUUCCACCGUCACAGUUUCAAUUGCACCCUGGUGGACCUGCCAGAUGCGAAGUUGGCGCGUGCCACAUUGAAAUGAAAGAUGAGAACCGGCUCUCGAUGAGAUCCCAUUGUCCUCGAUAUACCUUUUCUACUGAAGGAGGGUUCCGUGAGUCUAGCAGGUUCACCAAACGGGAUAAAACACGAAAGAUGUAUCCAGUUACAACAGAGAGAACACGUUGAAUGUCUGAAAUAUCAUAUCUAAGGAUAUUUCAUUUGUUAUGAACGAAAAA